CUAUCAACGAUAUAAAUUAAUAUGAUAUAUCUCAAACAACAACUUAAAAGUUUAAGUAGGGCGUGAUGACGUGUUUAGUGAUUUACUGGGCGCGAAGAACGUGGCCUCAUGGGAUAUUUUCUUUCCAUUCUGCAACGACGGUUAACGGACAGACGGCUUUCUGGAAAACAAAAGCAGCAUCUGGUUCACCAAGACAACCCAGUCCUACCAAGCAAAGGAAGUAGCAGCUGAUGGGAUGGCAGUGUAAGCUCUGCAAACACAAGGCUGCAUCAAAAGGGGCUUUACUCAAACAUUAUCGAGUGAAGCACGGUACUUUUGGUCGUGGAUAUUCAAUACCCUGUCUUCAUUUAAACUGUCCUUGCUCUUUCAAGACAUGGGGUGCCCUACGCACACAUUUGUCUAGAUCUCACACUUUGAAUGAAAGAGACGAGCAUGAAGUUCUUCAGUCUUUCAUAUAGGGGAAUUCCCAUUGAGAAAACAAGAGAGGUCAUCAUCCGAUGUCUCAUUGACCAUCUAGGGGAGGAUGAAAAUGCUUUAAUCAAACACUUUGAGGGGGAUGCCGAUGCUGUCUGUGUUCAAGAGACUUUGGCUGAGGAGGUGAUCAAGGUUUAUCUGCUGCAGAGCCAUGAUGGGUCAGUCAAACCUCCUGAUGUUGGGAUUGUUAUUGAGGGCAUUACUGUCCUUAAAAAUCUUGGUGAUCUCAGCAGAGCCUGUUGCUAUCUUUUGGGACUGGUCUAUGCUUUGGAUCUGAAAUACCCCAAGAAUCUUAAAUAUACUUUUGAGGUGUUUCAAAAAGUUUUCCUGGAGCUGGAUCCUGGAAACCUUUAAGUCAAGGUACAAAGACUGAAAAAUCACCUCUUUACAUCAUAGAUGACAUUUCACAAAGCUGCUCUUGAUGCACAAGACUUGUUAUAUGAAUAGUUGUGUUCAUUAAAAGGUUUAAUUAAUGUAUUACCUUAAUGUGUUGACAUUUCCAUAAUAAAAAAAACAUGUUUGGACAAAAAAUCUAAAAUGUAAGUUAUAGCUAAAGUAACUGUACAAAAAUCAAACUGAGGGAAGGCCUGAGCCCACUCUUCUAAUGACAGUUCUUGUCUAAUUAGCUGAGGGAUUAAAAGAGAGACCAUUUUGUUUAAAGUGUUGGCUCGUUUAAUUUUUGUUUUUGCUGUCCGGGUUGGCCGUUUAUUUUUCUUUCAGGUGUAAAACGUUGUGAAGUAAAUGGUAUAUAGACACUUUUUUGUGUAUUUUUGCAGUUUUUUAAAGGAGCACUGUGUUCAAGGCUAUUGUCAAAUUUUUUUUUUUGCCUUUUAUUUAACUUUUUUAUUUUUGUCUUUGUAUUCCAAUCACACUAAAACUGUAUUUAUUCUGAAACUCAAUAAUUCAUGGUGGAUGUUUCCUUUUCAAAAUGAUGCACAGACCUUCUUAGUUAAGUCACUUUAAUUGUUAU